GGGGCUGAUGGAGCUGUGGGAGUGGCAGGCAACCUCCAGCAGAAGCCAGCAGGCCUGCUAGUUGUUUGGAGAGUGGGUGUCUGGCUGUAUUGCAGCACAGGACUGCACACGGCUCUGCCAGCAACAAACCAGUUUAAACUCUUUUUGUUUGGUUGAAGAGCUUGUGUGUCUCAUGUUUCUCUACAGAAAGUUUGACUGCCAUCUGAUCUGACACAUCUAUACUUGUAUCAGCGCUUGUAAGGUUUGGUUAUUUUUUUGUUUUCUGGAGCAGUUGUCCCUGUCACCUGCCUGACUUGACUGGGUCUCACCGUGUAGCAGCCGUUUCCCAUCCACAGUACUGGAGUCAAUUUUGGACAUGCAAUAUCAAAACACCUUCUUAUGGUGGCUUGAGUCUUGACAGGAGCAAGACUCAGUGCUGCUGAGCAUGUGCUUCCCCUGGGCCAGGCUGCUCCAAUUUCAAUAAUACUGUGGGUAGAGUUUGCAAGAAUUAAAACUGGCUUGCUCAGAAAGUGAAAGGACCCAGCUUUCAUAAACCCACGAUCCCCAGCUCCUGUGGGAAAGACUCUGAGGUUAGUGUGGUGCUCCUUUGACCAUGAAGUUCCUGGUAUAUGAAAGUCUUGCUGGGAA
rnacentral:lncRNA from 1 species